GUUCUUGCAACGAACUCGGUUCCCUAAUCCUCACAGAGAUCUAACGUUCUCUUAGAUCUCGUCCCUUUCCCAUACCAUCCAUGUAUUUUUUUCCUCUAACUACCGCUCCUCUGUAGUUCACAAAUUCAACAUGCAUUCUGACCAAUGAUACAUUAAGACACACCACUACUGAUGACUUAUGAACAAUCACUCAUACCCUUUAACCAUAAUUCGCUCAACUGACACAUGGACACAUUGUGAAAUCCAACGUUCGUUGCGGCCCCUCCAGACGGCAUGCCACGACCACAAUGUCCUCCUCUUUUACAACCGAAGCAUCCUUAACUUAUAGUUCAAUCAACCUCCUCGAGCCGUUCCACUUGCUCAGUAGUUUCAUGGAUCCUUUUCAGCUCGAAUUCCAGAUCUCCCCCACUUUCGAUCAAGCAUACAAAGGUCCCAUGUGAUCUCUCCUUCCAGCCUCGUACCAGUACAUCAAUAUGUCCCAUUCCUAUUGUGAGACCUAUAACUGUUGUAGUCACCCACCAUGGGCUUGUUAAGGAGAUUAUAGACAUCGGCCCAAGAGAGCCCUCCCAUUUCUUUAUUAACCUCAGUCUCUUUCCCCAAGAGGAUCAUCUAUCAUCCUUAUCAGCAU
rnacentral:lncRNA from 1 species